AGAUGCUCAAGAGCAGCUGUGCAAUUCAGAUCAUGGAGAAUUUUCUCUUUUCUCCGAAAAGCAUUGUUAGUUGGCUGAGCACCAGCUCUAUUUCUUGAGAGUUUAACAUCAUCUCCAUCAUGCUACUUCCCUUGCUCCAGAGUACUCCAUCCUUAGCACCUCCUAGGAAGGACAGAGACAUCAGGAAGGUAAGAAACUCUUGGGACAAACACAAUAAAAUACAACACAAUAGGAUUCUCUCUUCUCAUUUCCACUUUUCUGGAUCAGUGCAAGAGAUUCUGGGAGGGGAGAGAACAGAUCAUCUUUUCUCAAAAGAAUAGAAUCUCAGACUGCUGGAGACAAGACAGGCCAAACAGUAGUUCCUCUGCUGAGGCUGAGGGGGGAUCGGGUAGUGCAGAGACCCUGGGAGCCUCUCAGCAGGCCUCAGGAAGCAGGUCCUACCUGACCUGAUUGACUUCAGCAGGAGGGCUAAGGAUUUGUGUUUCUUGAAGACCAAGAAAGAGAUCCGUGGUGGGUCUCACACAGAGAUCCUUUCUUGUGAUCUCCAAGGAAAGCGGACAGAAAAUAUUUCGAUCCACUUGAGAAAUGAGUAGAAGGAAAUGAAACCAAAGGCUUCAUUGGCUUAAAGGCAGAAAGUCAUGCGUGAGCACCGAACAUCUGUGGGCUGAUCUAGAGGGAGGACAGGGAGAAAGAAGUGCCAGUUACUUUUUGUAUUUCCUCAUGUCUCAGCCAAAAAUGCAGUGGAAGGUGAGGAAGAGGAGCAGAAAGAAACAUGGAGCUUGGAAAGAUGAGAGGCUGGAGUAGCUUCUAGAGAAUGCCUGACAGAACAAGAGGAAGAUAAAAACCUGGUUUUACUUCUGCAAAGUCCUACAGGCCUCUCUACGCCUACCUGCAACUUAUGCCUCCUGUGUUCUGGAGUCAUCUGGAAAAACACCCCGAAAAGGGUAAAUUUCAUCAAGCCCCCAAAGAAGCACCUGCCAGAGUCCACAGGUCAUGUGUGAAAGAUCCUGCUCCUGGCGUGACCACCAUCAGGUCAGUGAAACCUCAAUAUGGUGAAUGCAAUUCAAAGAGAAUCCCACUGGACACCAUCCCAAAAAGUUCAGCUCCAGGUAACACAGGGAAUGCCUGUGGCAGCAUCUCCAGUGCCAGCCAUGGCAGGGUUGAGCCUCACCAACUAUCCCUUUUGGUUGUCUUCCUGGUAGUGGGAAAAUACAAAGGCUUUUUUCUUUCUGGCCUCCUCGAGGUGCAAGUUCUAGCCACAGCACCUGCCCCAACAAUGAUCAGGGACCUCUUUCAGGGGUGGGGGGCCCACAAACAGGCAGAUAGAAAUUGGUAGUCUCUCAUUUGUCAUCCCUGAUGUUCAGAAGCUGCUGGAGACUUUAAUCAGCAAAAGAGUAGAACUGAACAUUUGGGAAGGAAAAGCAAAGCAUGGAUCAUUUCCAAAACAAACAAGCUCAAUCUACCAUCUGAAUUUUUUGGAGGACAUUACAUUCUCCCCACUAAUCCAGAACAAGGAAGAAAAGUGGAGCAACUGUCCAAUCGUUAGCAGUUCUGUUAUCUCCAGGCCGUGGGGGACUUUUUACACCAGAAAUGCAGUCAGUGUUGCUAGGGACUUUCCUCGCUGCACAGUGAGUCCCUUGUGGCUACUGCUUUAGUCAUGGGCAGCACAUCUCAACCACAGACUUCCUUUGUUUUACUCAUUGGAAACUAAAUGUUUUCCACUUCCCAAUCAGCUCAUCAUGUCUUCAAAUCUUUCCCAGGCCACAUUCAGGCCUCACCCUAGGUCCAGUUACAAUCUUUGGCUGGAGACUUGCUCCAGUCCCAGCCCCCACUAGUGUCUCUGGUUCAGACCCAGGCCCAUCACACUCCUGAUUUCCAAAUCCAACCACCUUUUUCUCCACCAGAGAUUAGGUAUUAUGGGGUGUCUACUCCUACAGACCAGAGCAAGGCACAAGCCUUUGUCUCAAUUAAAAUUCAAUUUCUGGAAUGGUCCAUGUGGCACAGGCCAAGAGAAAGGAUGUCUUUAUCCCCUGUUGUCCAAAACUCUGACCAAGUGGUUAAUCAAGUCCCUGCCAGGCUUUUUCAGGAUAGCUUCACCUUCCAGGCCCACAGUUCAGUGUGUGCCCAUCACAGGGAUCUUGUCAGUGCGAAUCUCCAGGCACCACAUCUCCAGAGGUGGCUGCUUCGAAGUGACCAUCAGAACUGCUUGCCCUGCAGAAUCCAGGCUGUGGAAGCAGUGUAGCUUCGAGGAGAACUCCCAGGUGUGUGUCACGCACUGGGCAGGCCUCAGCCCUCAAUUGUCAUCUGUGUUGUCAUACCAAAAUAGUUGGGAUGCACGGGAGACAAGAUGCGGGUUCCCAGGAGGUCCUACAGGAAGAAUCUACUCACGAUCCUACAAAAAAAGAAUUUAGACAAGGGUCUAGGGCAGUGUCUGAGGAGGAUCCCCAAAGACCAAAGCAAAGGCUUGGUUAUUUUCCCAGUGAGCUCUGAGGAGCUGCAAAGACACCCAGUGAGGCCCGUGAUGAGUGACUCAGGAAGUUGCUUGUCCAGGGGCCCAGAGGGGAAACAAUUAGAAAAAUUCUUAAAAGCCCAUCUGGGCAAGAAGUUAGGGCAGAUCAGCGAGGGUUUGUUCCCUAUCACUGUGCGUAGAUCUUGGCUUGCUGCCAACCUUGCUUCAUCCACACCCAACACUCAGAGGGAACCCAUACAGCUAGCACCCUUGAAGGGUUGGGCAAACUGCGUAAACACCUCUCACAAGCUUCCUUUCCUCAGUCCACGUGCUGGACAGGAGCUGGGAACACAAAUGAUCAGGUUUCGGGUAAGGCAGAACUGGGGCUUUUACUCCCAGGCCUUUGAACCCAUAAAUAUCAAGGACUGCGAGGCUCAACCACUGUCCCUUUCAAGGCAUGUCUCCCCCUGUGGAUCUGGGACCCAGUCAAAAGCCAAUUUUUCAAAGUCCUUGAGGAAACCUCCUCAAUUAAACUAAAAUGUCAGUUUCUACCCCCACCUGGUUAGCCCCUUUUCGACUCCCUCAUAUGUGAGUGAAGAAACCCAGAAGGCCCCAGGAGGGACCCCACCAGUCCAUGUGCAGGGACCUUCAAACAUUCUUCUGACUGGACAGGAGGGCAGUCUCCCCAGGCUCGUGAGGAGACCUCGGCACAGUGAGACUGUGCUGAAGGUUGAGAUGGUCAACCUAGAGCUCACUCCUAGUACAGAAAUGUUCACAAAUAAGCUGAAAUGUUCACAAAUAAGGUGUUGCUCCAAUUGGUGAGUGGAGGAAGACAUAAAGUCCAAAUCACAUCAGACCUGUCCCAGAAGAUAGCAAUAUUGAAGAGGAACUUAAAGACCAAAUAUUUGAGGGUCAAACAAGACUUAAGGCUGAUGGAGAUCAAGGAAGCCCCUGCAUGGAAAGUUAUCUUGGGCUCCAGUGAGCCAGACAGUGCCCCGACUGGUGUUGUGAAUCUGAAGAGCUCACAGUUUUCUGAGUCCAGUGAUGGCUUCAUAACAACUACAGCAUCUGCUGCCCCAAAUCCAAAAAAGCCAGACCUUAAAACAAGGGUUGUCAGUCAGUGUGAGCUCCAAGGGAAAGUGGAUGUAGAGAAACAACCUCAAGGCCAAGCACCAAAGUGCUCCCUAAAGGCUCCUACAUUGAGGGGCUCUUAUUAGAUUACGGCACAGGUGUGCUCCUCCAAGAUUGUACCACCACCGUGCUCCUCCCAGACUCUCACACAAAUGUGCUUCUUGCUGCAAAUACCUUGGCCUCUGACAGAUCACUGUGUGAUAUCCAGAAAGAAAAUCUUAGUGGGGACACAUAAGCUCCCCAGGAGACAUUAGACAUCAUACAUUGGACAAGGCUGUCAGGGGCAGCAGGAACCAAGGAUACCAAAAGUUAAGGUCCAAGAUCAAAGUCAAAACAAGAUAUUGACCUCAGUUGGUGAGAGAGUGGAUGAUCUCAUCACACUAAUUGAUGAGAAAGAAGAGAAUGGUUUUUCAACUGACAAGGGGGAGGAUAUCUCCCCAACUGGUGAAAGGGAGGAUGAUGUUACCCCAAUUGAUGAGGGGGAAGAUGAUGUUGCUCCAAUUGGUGAGUGGGAGGAAGACAUAAAGUCCAAAUCAAGAAAGCAGGAAAAACUUUUCUAGAACAGAGAACUUCCCAGACAAAUAAGAUCAGCCACCCUGCUCAGGUCAGGGAAACAGAAAAAUUACUGAGGAACAAGACCCUCUGGCAAGAAAAGAAACUAGUUUCUCCAGAAAGCCGCAUCAGAAAAAGAAUGUGGCACUUUCUGGAGUGCCUGAAAAGCAAUAAAAAAGACAAAGGGCAGGAAGAGCACCUUAAAAAAGCCAAGCCUGCACCAGCCACUGGCCAGAGCCAGGAGGGAAUCAAAAGCAGGUUGACAACACACAGAGCUAUGGAAGUGCAAAUGAUCACAGCAGCCUUAGGACACAUUCUGGUGGAGACAUUGGGACUAUCCCAAGGAAUUCGAGCUUCAGAAGUAAAGCAACACAAAAACAAUGUCAGGUCACAGUAGGUCGGCAUUCCUGCCGCCACAGCACUCUCACCCUCCCAGCGCAACAAAGAGUGAUGAAAGGCACAACCUAUAGCCACCAAGCAAUGUCCCUGGGACACUGAAGUUCUAUCGGAAAAGGGGCGGUGAUAGACAGGGUCUUGUCACCCAGAGAGCCAGAGUCCCCAGCCAGACCAGGCCCGCACAGGCUGAGGGAGGCAGGGGCCUCUGGCCACAUUCACCAUUCUCCAACAAGCUGUCUUCAAAACUGUCUUGUCUGGACCACCAGAUUUUUCUCCUGCUUUCACCAGUAGGAAAUCCAUUCUCCAAGAAGAUACACAGUACAUGCAGCAGAAAUCUGACUUUCCUCCUAAUAGCACAUCCUCUGUGUGCUAGGGACCUCACUUAUUGUGACAUUUAUUUCAAAAAAAUAUAUGUAUGUUCUCAUAUCAAGUGGUCUGUACCUUUUUAUGGGGAAGGGCAGGGGUAAUGGUCUCUC